UGCCCCUGUCGGCAGUGGAGAGAAAAAAGGUCAGUCGUGCUUAUAUGUGUAUUGACUCACGCAAGGGGUGAGUCUUUGUGAAAGGAGCACAUGCAGGCAAGGGAAGGUCGACAAUGGAGCUUCAUACUCCCCCACCGUAGCUGCAUUUUAGGUGAUAACUCACCCCCUUACUCCUCUCCCCGACAGACUAGGCAGAAUCUUCUCAGUUUUUCCCCUCACCCUUUCCCUCCAAACUAUCUGGUUUUGCACUCUCUUUCCAUUUUUCUCCUCUUCUGGACACCGUCACGGUCACAACUGCGGAUUUUGGACCGUCACAAGGCUUGAGUAAGCGGUGAGAGAUUCCUCUGGACCAUGUUUACCUGGGUUCGAUCGUCUAUCUUUAGGUGCUGGCUGAUCUUUUUAAUGUUGAUGUGUCUUCUGGGCAGCUGGAUGAUGUAGGUCCAAGGGCUGAUGAUUUUGGUUGCCAGGAUGGGGCUGAAUAAGGGGAUGCUUCCAGCCAUGAUUCUUCUUUCUAGAUGAUGUGUAAUAUUUAUCUUCUUUUUUUUUUUUUUUUUUUUCUAAACUGGACCAUUUGGGUGUUGUAAUGACGAUUUCUAAUAUGCUCAUUCUAUUUUUUUUUUCCUGUU